AAAUUAUUGAAUCAAAUUUCAAAAAGUUCUUUUUUAUUUGUAAAAAAUAUGGAUUAAUUUUUUUUUUUAAUAUAAAAUCAGUUUGAUAUGUGGACAAUUGCUAUUUGACAACGUGAAACGGAACUCUAUGAAAAAUGAAGUUAGGCAGUUCGGAAAUUAGAAAAUCGUUACAUUUUACCGCUUAACUAUUUCAUUUGUAUUAUGUUAUCGCGUAGUCGUAGAUGGAUUAUAACGCCAAAACAUGAUCGUUCAGUAAUUAAAAAGUGACAGGCCGAAUGAUAUCACGAGUGCGGCGCAAUAGGGUUACGGCGUUAGUUUAAGCGAGAUUCCGUUGAAUAUAUUCGCUGCGUCGAUGUUUUGAGCUCGAGAGCAAGAGAAGCAGAUAUAGAGCGACAAUACAUCCAUUUAUUGCAUUUAAGUGAAAAAAAGGAAAGUCACUUCGGAUGUUUGUGUCUUACAGUUUUUAAUAUUCCGUAUUGAUAUUAAUAUUCCAGAAGCUAAUCAUUUUAGUUGUUAACUAUAAUUUUUCAGUGGACUCGUAAAUAAUUUUAUAAAAUAACAUCACUGGUGGGUACGAUACAAAUUCAAUUUCUUGAAUCAAAAAUUGUCAGAAUGAGUGAUGGGGGAAAGCGACUUAGUGGGGCCGAGUACAGUAAAAGUGCAGAAAUUAAAUAAAGAAGUACAGAAGGAAGUCAUCCGACAAACAGUAUAUACUGACAAUUUUUUAAAAAAUGAAAGUAAAAGCAGUAUUUUGAGUGUGGAAACUUCAAACAUAAGUCUUAAUACAAUACAAUCUGAAGAAGAGGAGACCGAAGCGGAAUCAUCUGUAAGUCCAAGAAUUGAAGAUUCGUCUCAGAACCAAACGUCAAGUCAGAACGACGUCGAAUUAGUAUAAACAAUCAAAAGUCUAAAUAAAGAUCCCACGCUAUGGAUAAUUGACAAUAACUUGAGGGAGAUGAUCGCAAGGUACGGCUUUGAUCAAAAUAAAUCUUGUGACUUCACUAAAAGUGAAAGAAUAUAUGCGGAUCAGCGUCGUUUUUUGCCAAUAUCUUCUAAAGAAAAAUGAGAAGUAAUGAAGUGAAAGAUCGAAAUUGGUCCAGAUUGAUGAAGAAAUAACUUACUGGAGAAACGUUCUAAUGAGAGUUGUUGCUGUCGUGAAGUGAUUAUGUUCAAGAGGUCUCGCUUUUAAAGGGGAAAAUGAAAAAUUUGGAGAUCCACAUAAUGGAAAUUAUUGUAUGGAUUUGGACCUAUUACCGGAAUUCUAUCCUUUUAUGGCUCAUCGUUCGUUUACGAUAAAUAAAACGUAGCGAAACAGUAAAUUUUACUUAAUAACCAAAGUGUAUACAAAAUUCAAAAUUUUUGUCUUAUAACUAUCUGUUCUGCUUUUAUUAGGUAAGUAUUCAAAGUAAAAAACCUGAACAAAGAAUACUGGUAAUAAAUGAUAGUGUAAAAA